rnacentral:rRNA from 1 species
UACGUAGGGGGCAAGCGUUGUCCGGAAUCAUUGGGCGUAAAGAGCGUGUAGGCGGCCCGGUAAGUCCGCUGUAAAAGUCAAAGGCUCAACCUUUGAAUGUCAGUGGAUACUGCCGGGCUAGAGUCCGGAAGAGGCGAGUGGAACUCCUGGUGUAGCGGUGGAAUGCGCAGAUAUCAGGAAGAACACCAACGGCGAAGGCAGCUCGCUGGGACGGUACUGACGCUGAGGCGCGAAAGCGUGGGGAGCAAACAGG